rnacentral:lncRNA from 1 species
GACAUUAGGAAUGGAAGAGAUGAAAGGUUGAUGAAGAAAGAGAGAAGAAGACCGAUAUUAUGAUGAAAAAUUAACAAUCUGCACCUGCAAGUGAGAAGACUUAUAUGUUGAUCCAAAAUAGAGAAAAACAAUAGUACAUGUCAUGCAUAGGAUGAUAAUAGACUCCCAGAGUUGCUCCACCAUCUGUAUGAAAAUAUCAAUAUCAUACCAAGAAAAUAUUGUAUCCAUCAGUAUCAAACAAAUAUUGAGCAGCU